rnacentral:ncRNA from 1 species
AGAUGAUAAAGGCAAACUUAUCGAAAGUUAAGGACGCAAAGCUUCAGGUCUACGGCUAUUAAUAGUUAUGACGGCUGAGUUACCGAU